UGGGGAAUAUUGCGCAAUGGGCGGAAGCCUGACGCAGCGACGCCGCGUGGGGGAUGAAGGCCUUCGGGUUGUAAACCUCUUUCGACCCUGACGAAGCGCAAGUGACGGUAGGGGUAGAAGAAGCGCCGGCCAACUACGUGCCAGCAGCCGCGGUAAGACGUAGGGCGCAAGCGUUGUCCGGAUUUAUUGGGCGUAAAGAGCUCGUAGGCGGCUUGUCGCGUCGUCCGUGAAAACUUCAGGCUUAACCUGGAGCGUGCGGUCGAUACGGGCAGGCUAGAGGCAGGUAGGGGAGAUCGGAAUUCCUGGUGUAGCGGUGAAAUGCGCAGAUAUCAGGAGGAACACCGGUGGCGAAGGCGGAUCUCUGGGCCUGUUCUGACGCUGAGGAGCGAAAGCGUGGGGAGCGAACAGG
rnacentral:rRNA from 1 species